GUAGUCGGAUUCGGGGCGGGGCGACCGGUCUGCCGAUGGGUAUGCACUGGUCGGCGCGUCCUUCCUUCCGGAGACCGUGCCUACUCUUAACUGAGCGGGGGCGGGAGACGGAUCGUUUACUUUGAAAAAAUCAGAGUGUUUCAAGCAGGCGUCUCGCCUUUGCAUGGAUUAGCAUGGGAUAAUGAAAUAGGACUUUGGUGCUAUUUUGUUGGUUUCGAACACCGAAGUAAUGAUUAACAGGGACAGUCAGGGGCACUCGUAUUCCGUCGAGAGAGGUGAAAUUCUCAGACCAAUGGAAGACGAACAACUGCGAAAGCAUUUGCCAGGGAUGUUUUCACUGAUCAAGAACGAAAGUUAGGGGAUCGAAGACGAUCAGAUACCGUCGUAGUCUUAACCAUAAACCAUGCCGACUAGGGAUCGGAGGAUGUUAGAUUUGACU
rnacentral:rRNA from 1 species